rnacentral:rRNA from 1 species
CCUACGGGUGGCUGCAGUGGGGAAUAUUGGACAAUGGGCGAAAGCCUGAUCCAGCCAUGCCGCGUGUGUGAAGAAGGCCUUCGGGUUGUAAAGCACUUUCAGUGGGGAAGAAAGCCUUGGGGCUAAUACCCUCGAGGAAGGACAUCACCCACAGAAGAAGCACCGGCUAACUCCGUGCCAGCAGCCGCGGUAAUACGGAGGGUGCGAGCGUUAAUCGGAAUUACUGGGCGUAAAGCGCGCGUAGGCGGUCUGAUAAGCCGGUUGUGAAAGCCCCGGGCUCAACCUGGGAACGGCAUCCGGAACUGUCAGGCUAGAGUGCAGGAGAGGAAGGUAGAAUUCCCGGUGUAGCGGUGAAAUGCGUAGAGAUCGGGAGGAAUACCAGUGGCGAAGGCGGUCUUCUGGACUGACACUGACGCUGAGGUGCGAAAGCGUGGGUAGCAAACAGGAUUAGAUACCCGUGUAGUC